rnacentral:rRNA from 1 species
UACGAAGGGUGCAAGCGUUACUCGGAAUUACUGGGCGUAAAGCGUGCGUAGGUGGUUCGUUAAGUCUGAUGUGAAAGCCCUGGGCUCAACCUGGGAAUGGCAUUGGAUACUGGCGAUCUAGAGUGCGGUAGAGGGCAGUGGAAUUCCCGGUGUAGCAGUGAAAUGCGUAGAGAUCGGGAGGAACAUCUGUGGCGAAGGCGGCGUUCUGGACUGCAACUGACACUGAAAAACGAAAGCCAGGGGAGCAAACGGG